CAAUGCCUCAUGCGUACAAGGCAAGUGCUCUACCACUGAGCCACAACCCCAGCCCAGUUUUUUUAAUUUUUUAAGCAGCUUUAUUGAGAUAUAAUUUACAUACCAUACAAUUCAACCAUUUAAGGUAUGCAAUUCAGUGAUUUUUUUGUAUAUUUUAAAAUUGUGGUUAAAAUAUGUAUGUGUGUGUAUGUAUACACACACACACACAAUAUUUGCCAUUUUAAACUGUUUUUGUGUGUGUGAUCCUCCUGCCUCAGCCUCCUGAGCCUCUGGGAUUACAGGCGUGUGCUACCGAACCCAGCAACAUUUUCACAGUUCAGUGUCAUUAGUUAUAUUUACAACAUUACUAAAACCUUUUCAUCACUCCAAGUAGAAACUUUUAAAAAUAUUUUUAAAUUAUAAUUUUUUUUUGUACCAGGGAUUGAACCCAGGGGUGCUUUACCUCUGAGCUAUAUCCCACCCCUUUUUAUUUUUUAUUUUAAGAGAGGGUUUCCCUUUUUUCACUUGGAAAUCCAGUUGUGCCAGUUCCAUUUGUUUAUGAAACUGUUCUUCCCCUAUUGGUGGAAUUGGCAGUCUUGUCAAGAAUCAACAGGGCAAGGCUGAUUUAACUAAGUGGUAUAGCAUUUGCCUUCUAUGCAUGAAUUCUUGGGCUCAAUCCCCAGCACUGCACAAACAAAAACUAAAACAAAAAUGACUAAAGUUUUAUGAAUUUAUUUCUAGACUCUCAUUUCAACUUGUCUAUAGGUCUGUCCUUAUGCCAGUAUUAUUAGUAUUUUGAUUACUGUUGCUUUGUAGUAAAAUUUUGAAAUUGGGAUAGGUAAGUCCUCUGACUUUGUUUUUUUUCAAGAUUGUUGUGGCAAAUCAGAACCUCUUGCAUUUCUAUAUAAAUUUGAGAGUUGACUUUUCUAUUUCUGCAUAAAAGGCUGUUGGAAUUUUGAUAGGGGUUUUUGGGUCUGUAGACCACUUUGGGAUUGACAUCUUAAUAUUGAGUCUUCCUAUCCAUAAAUAAGGAAUGUCUUUCCAUUUAUUUAGGUCCUCUUUAAUUUUUGUCAGUAAUGUUUUCUAAUCUUCAGUGUACAAGUGUUUAAUUUCCUUUGUAUUUUAUUCUUUGGUUCCUUGAGUAUUUUUUUUUUUUUUCAAUUUGGUGAACUCACUCUCUCUCUCUCUCUCUCUCUCUCUCUCUCUCUCUCUCUCGUGUGUGUGUGUGUGUGUGUGUGUGUGUGUGUGUGUGUAUGUUUAUGUUUUGGUACUGGGGAUUGAACUGAGGGGCACUUAACCACUGGAGUCACAUUCCCAGCCCUUUUUUGUAUUUUAUUUAGAGACAGUGUUUCAUUGAGUUGCUCAGGGCCUUGCUAAGUUCUGAGGCUAGCCUUGAACUUGGAAUCCUCCUGCCUCAGCCUCCCAAGUAGCUGGGAUUACAGGCAUGCACAGCUGUACCUGGCUCUUGUUUUUAUUCUUAAGUAAAUGAUAAAAUAAUUAAUUUUUUAAAUAUAUUAAGGCACUUAAAUUUGUUACUAAUAAGAUAGUGAUUUUGGUUGAUUAACUAUUUUCAUUCUGAAAAGCUGAGAGAAUAACAUUAGCUAAUUACUUAAAUUUUACUUUAUGUUGUUGAAGAGGAUUUUGAUUGUUAUAUCUACUAGACCUACUUGCCUAGUAGGUCUAACAAUUAGACCUACUAGAAUAGCUUAAAGUUUUUUAUAUCUUCUGAUAGGUAUUUUAUUACUUUUUCAUUGAAGUAAACUGAAAUAACUUUUGUUAGGCAUAUGUGAAUUAAAAAUAAUUUGUAUAAAUGUACUGCUCUUAAAUAAACCAUUAGGAAUAUCUUGGAAUUUCUGUUUUGUUCUUAUAGAUAAGGUUUAGAUGGAAUUUGGCAUGUGGUAAUCUCUAUUUAAUAAAUAAUGAGUUUGUUUUCUGUGUUUUGAUUUCCUGUUUCACAGUUGUACUAGU
rnacentral:lncRNA from 1 species